GCUAUAUCAUAUUGAAACACCUGUUCCUAUACGAUCACUGAAGUUAAGCAAUGUCGAGCCUGGUUAGUACCAGAUGGAUGACUGCUUGGGUAUACAAAGUAUUGUAAG